AAAUGGAAAAGUGAACUCAGUCGUCCUCCAUCCUCACCUUCGUUCUCAGACUAUCUCUAUCUCACACCUCCCUCAAACUCUUCAAUCGCGUCUCUCUCACAAUCACUCACCUCUCUCAGUCGCUCUCAAAAUCGCUCACAAGAUUGCUCUCUCAAACGCGCUUACACUUUCGCUCACCAUCUCUCAUUCCGUUCCCAAUCUCUCACGUCUCACUCAAUCACUCUGAAUCAUGCAAGAAUCCAUAGCUGAAACAAAGAAAGAGCUCACCUUCGGCGGUGACGACGACAACGAUGAAGUUUAAACCUCAUUCCUUCGCCUCUUCAAAACAGCUUUAGGGUUUUCAGCUUGGUAUGGAGUUCAAAAGAGUAUCUCUGCAAACUACUUUUGAUGUGCUCAAAAUCAGAUUGGUCUCUUUGAUGCUAAAUUCAAAAAUGUGAAGAUUGGUUAAAACAAGAGUAGCUUCGGUUAUCACAGGGAUUCUGGAUCGUGAUUUUGGAUUGAAAUUUCUUCAGUGGAAGCAUCGUGAUUUCCUGAUGAUGACUUCUAUCGGUCGUCAAAAAUUCAUAGGUAUGAGGUCAAGUACAGGUUUAUGCGCAUCCAGCAAGUCUGUUUUGGUUCUGCAACAUGCUUGGAACUUCUCAUAUUUGGCAAGGCAGGUGAAGUGGAUGAACCUUUGUUUACAUUAUGUUUUUCAGUAUGAUUCCUGGCAUUCGGUUUCUUAACAUUGGAUGGCUUAGGAUGCACACGCGUGUUUGAACGAUCAAGAUUCGUUAGCAGUUUUGUUAUAGGAAAUUGAGGAGAAUUAUUGAUUCCUGUGCGCUUUUCCACAACCAAUGGUUCCAUACUGCUAGGAACAACACUAGGCACGACAUCUGAAGUAGAUGAUUAAUUUUGUCUCCUUGUCUGUUGCACCUGCCGAUUUAUUAGGAUGGGAUUUGACUCGAGAACUUUUUGCUCGACAGUUCUACCUUCAGCAAAUAAAUUCAAAUGUCCAGUUGAAGCGAGCACUACCAGCAUCGACCAUUCUCCAUAUACUUUUAAUUCUGAUUUGACCAAUCUUGCAACCUAGUGUCUGUCUUUCUGAACUUGCACUUUUCUUUGUGGAAUCUAAGUUUUUUGUCUUGUUGAACUUGCAGUUUUCAUCGUGGAAUCAAGGGGCGUCCGAUGAGACCUUUGACAUGACCGUGAUGCUAGGCUAAGCAUGUACACACUGUCUUGGAAAAAUGAUGGGUUCAAGCACGAAACCAACAAGACUUUGCUAGUUCCCCUCAAAGAGUCCUGCAACAUGCGUGGACAUGGACAAUUAAUCCCAAGUGGCUUCUACGAGCACGCUCAACUUCUUUUUGGGUGCAGCUGUGUGUGCAGAACAUGCUGGCACAAUGACCGAAUAAACGGUAGAGAAGCCUCACAUUGCUGGCGGAGAAAAUAUACUACUGGUCCAGAUGAAAGAUUGGAUUCCAUGGAAAAAUCUUUGUAGCAAGCUAUCAAUGUAAUCUCAAGAUAACUAACAACCACGCGAACUGAUCCAAAAGCUGCAUCCAUAAAUAAACCAACCUUCGGGUGUGCAAGCAAAACAUUGGCAAUAUCUUGAAACUGUGUUGAUGUAAACCCACGGCGGGGUAUUAUUUAUUUCAUUUUAGGUGCAAUCAAGAUUAUUUGGCAUGAGGUUCAGUGAAACCGGAUGAACUGUCACAGGCUCGUUAGUAUGCAGGCCUUCCCCUGGAUCUUGAAUAUCCUCUAAAGUAGUAUUAGUGUUUUGUGUUAGAGCAGUUUCCUAGGUCUUUUGUAUCAACUUUUCAGCAACUCAUUUUUCUGAAUUUGCUUCAGUAUUGUCUUGUAUCUUGUAUGUGUAACAUGUAUCAACAAUGGGAACAUCAUUUUCUAUCUUAUGCUCAGAAUUUGGCACUUACAUCAACUAGGAUAUGAACUGUCUAGCAUCCAUUUUGUAUGAAGAUAUUUGAUCAUCAACCUUGUUGAUUUUGGCAUUAAUCUUCAGAUAGUGGAUGCUAUUUGGACUUAAAUCAUUUGCAUAGACUAAGCAUCCUUUUUUGUACGGCAGGAGUGGAAAAAGGACCUAUACCAGCAAACAUGUCACAAAUGAUUUCUCCAGCUUGGAACAUUGAAACUAACCUCUUGUAUUCAUGUCCCAAUCUGGAAUUCUAAUAAACCAGACUGUAACAAGCCUAAAAGUGGCGCCCUAUUGCUUCACUUCUAUAAUCAUAUCAUGCUCUCCUGCUAGAAUUUCAAAGCCUUGCAAAAUUGGCAGGGUAUUCGAAGGGCCCACAGUUUCAAGUGCACAUCGAACAUGCUCUCGUCCACCAAUAUCACCACACAAAAGAGGAAGAAAUCAGCAAUUGAACUUGCAACAAUUCUGGCAGAUCCGCACACCUAGGUGCAGCAAAACAUAUGCUAGAUAUGGCUUCCUUCAAGUUUAGGGGAUAUUCC